rnacentral:lncRNA from 1 species
AAAAACGCCUAAAAUUCCACAAAAACCCAAAUUAACACGAUAUCUCAAUUCCAAUACUUCUUUUGCAAUAUAGAAUGAAUACACGCAUAAGCGUCCUUAUAUGUAACUCAACCCAUUUUUUCUGAAUCAAGAUUAAUAAUCCGUGUUUUUACAGAAAAAAAUAUCGAGAAUUCUACCGACAAUUAUACAGAUCGCUCUCAGAAACAAAUCCAUGACACUCAAAUUGAUACAAUAACCAGAUCCAAUAUUGAUGCAUGCAAAUGAUUAGCAAAAGUACCAAAACUAAAAGGGUCAAUUGAAAAUUACUUCGUCCGCGUGUGUCUGUGAGAGAGAGAGUCACCUUGAUGAGUUCUCCAAGUGGUUCAAUGUAAGAAAAUGGCGGAAGACUGGAUGUGCAUGAAUAUUCAUAUUUUGUUUGAUAAAUAAAUUGAAUACAUAUAUUCCUAUUUCACGCGUUACUUAGACGCGUA